CAUUACUGACCUAAUCGGUGAAAUCCACCGAUUUCUAAUCCGUCCCUUUUGCUCAGUUUAGAUACUGCUUCACUUUAUCCUCACUGUUUUACCCUCUGCCUCUUCUGUUCCCCUUUGCCUCUUCUGUUUCGCCCGAUUUGCUCCCUCCGUUUCUUUUCUUUUCUUUUCUGCCGAUUUGCUCCCUCUGUUUCUCAUAGUUCUCCACACGCCCACACCUCUACAAAAAUAACAGCCUUCAAAGUCGGCAGGAUUUUAAGGCAUUUUUAUUUGAGCCCUGUUCUUCUCCUUCUUCCUAGACGUGGGGUUUCCAUUUCCCAGUUCUUCUCGUCCCUUUCUUAAAGUCGGCAUCUUCCUUUGCUUUCUCCAGUUUUCUCCUACCCAGCACCUUCUUCAAGGGUUUUGAGAGAGGCUGGGGUCGGAUGUUUAAAAUCUAUAUCUGAUAUGUACAACGAAUUAUUUCAUUUUGCUGUUCUUUUGGGCUUGAUAAUGGCUUUAAAGGUCACCAGCUUUUAGCAGUUCUGCUCAUUUACCUUCCGGCAAUUGACAUGACUUGAGUGGCAAAUGAACUACAGUUCCAUCAAACACCACUACUGCAAUUCUUGCUGCUCCCAAUUUGUCGAAUCCCAUGGCUACAGUUGUUGGUGCUGCUUCAAACCCAUUGUCCAAUCCCAUAGUUUCAAUGGUAGACGGUGUAUCCUCCAAGGCAUUUGAUGAAGUACUGAAAGCAACACCACCUGCUUUGUCAGUAUUUUUGGCUAGCUUGCCUUCUAUCGAGGGGUUUGUUCUUAUUUGAAUAGCCUUUGUUGUAGCUAUUUGCAAAAUCCUGGUGAUGAACACCUAAGCCUUCAGGUGACAGGGAUAGAUCCCUGGCUCUAAGGAACUCCCUUACCUAUGGUGGGAUAUAUCGUAUAUCCAACUGGCUUGAACACCAUAUAAUUUUAAAGAAAGCGUAGUUAACAUCAUGUAUUGAAAUGCAGCAAAGGAGAAGUCACCGCAGCUAGAUGAUGGUGAUUCAGGAUUACCUCCCCGUGACGAUGAUGGUGGUGGAGGUGGCGGGGGAGGUGGUGGGGGCAACUGGUCAAGUGAAUUCUUCCUUUUCGGAUUCCUCGCGUUUCUAGGCUUCCUAAAGGAUAAAGAAAGCGAAGAAGAUUACCGGGACAGCCGAAGAAGAUGAUGAGAGAUUCUCUACACAUUGAUAACAUUUUUAAAACCUUUAUUGCAUGUUGUUCUUCAUGUUACAUGCUUUUGAGAACCCAUUGCAUAUCGUUCUUCAUGAUAUAUUUCUAUUUUUGGAACCAAUUGCAUAUUUGAACUA